rnacentral:rRNA from 1 species
AUUGAACGCUGGCGGCAGGCUUAACACAUGCAAGUCGAGCGGAGCGAGGGUGCUUGCACCUUAGCUUAGCGGCGGACGGGUGAGUAAUGCGUAGGAAUCUGCCUAUUAGUGGGGGACAACAUUCCGAAAGGAAUGCUAAUACCGCAUACGCCCUACGGGGGAAGGCAGGGGAUGUUCGGACCUUGCGCUAAUAGAUGAGCCUAAGUCGGAUUAGCUAGUUGGUGGGGUAAAGGCCUACCAAGGCGACGAUCCGUAGCGGGUCUGAGAGGAUGAUCCGCCACACUGGGACUGAGACACGGCCCAGACUCCUACGGGAGGCAGCAGUGGGGAAUAUUGGACAAUGGGCGGAAGCCUGAUCCAGCCAUACCGCGUGUGUGAAGAAGGCCUUUUGGUUGUAAAGCACUUUAAGCGAGGAGGAGGCUACUUAGAUUAAUACUCUGGGAUAGUGGACGUUACUCGCAGAAUAAGCACCGGCUAACUCUGUGCCAGCAGCCGCGGUAA